CUGGCCCACUAUCCCACCCUCGAUCUGGACUGUGUCUAUGACUAUGUUCACCUGUACAGGGAAACAGUCCCCGUCCUUGCCAAGACUCUCAAGGACAUUGCUUUAAACCGCAGCCCGACCUCUCCACCCAGGAACAGCGGAGAAAUCUCCACCCCUCCGAGAUCAGCGAGACAACACCCCAGACCAGCACCCUGGACCCCCCCAGCUAUGGCCACAGCACUACCAACCUCAAUGCCCACCACAGCCAGCUCAGCACAGACCACCCCGGCCCAGCUUCAGACCCACCGAGACGAGGCCUACCUGAGUGUUUGUCUCAUUUUGAAGGCCAGCUGCGAUUCCCACCGGAUGAUGUCAACAUUCUUAAUCCCAUGGUCAUCUCAGUUUGCCCUCCCGACCAACUGUUGCUUUCCAUUGCAAGACUGCAGCAACAGAUCCUAAGAAACAGAGCCUGGUCGAACGGAGAGAGGAGAGGAGCUGAACUGAGAGAGUUGAAACAGAGCCUGGUCGAACUGAGAGGAGAGGAGCUGAGCUGAGCUGAGAGCUGAAAGCUGAAACAGAGCCUGCUCGACCUGAGAGGAGAGGAGCUGAAAGCUG
rnacentral:lncRNA from 1 species